UGAGGAAUAUUGGUCAAUGGACGCAAGUCUGAACCAGCCAAGUAGCGUGCAGGAUGACGGCCCUAUGGGUUGUAAACUGCUUUUAUAUGGGGAUAAAGUGGGGAACGUGUUCCCUUUUGCAGGUACCAUAUGAAUAAGGACCGGCUAAUUCCGUGCCAGCAGCCGCGGUAAUACGGAAGGUUCGGGCGUUAUCCGGAUUUAUUGGGUUUAAAGGGAGCGUAGGCCGUUUGGUAAGCGUGUUGUGAAAUGUAGGAGCUCAACUUCUAGAUUGCAGCGCGAACUGUCAGACUUGAGUGCGCACAACGUAGGCGGAAUUCAUGGUGUAGCGGUGAAAUGCUUAGAUAUCAUGAAGAACUCCAAUUGCGAAGGCAGCUUACGGGAGCGCAACUGACGCUGAAGCUCGAAGGUGCGGGUAUCGAACAGG
rnacentral:rRNA from 1 species